rnacentral:lncRNA from 1 species
UCACAUUGAUGAGCACCACAUUUCACCCCGCAUUUACAUAUCAAAACGCGUUAUGGUUUAUUUGUCUGAUUGGCUCCAUCAUUUGUAAAAGUCACAGACUAAACAGCCGCACGACCAUCGUUUGUUACUUUAUUGCUGACAGAGCACGAGGUUUGCCUGAUGCACGCGGCGUUGUGUGACUCCCCCCAUUUUUGACCACCGCUUGUAAGCCAAUCAGAAAACACCAUGCUGCGUGCCGGGCUUCCUUUCGCUUUACGCCAACCGCGGCCAUUGGCGACCGCGCGGUGCUCCGCGGCGAAAAUCUUCACCAUAUCAAAGCUGCGCACCCCAUAUAUGACACCUUAGGUAAGCACGAAGCGCACCCACACGCGCGCGCUCCUGAAAGUGCACGAGCUAUCGCGCACCCCGCGCUUCGCGCAUAUGAGUGCAAUUCGUGCUUACAUACGGUGUCCUGCAUUGGGUAUGCAGCUUUGAUCGGUUGCAGAUUUUCGCCUCGGAGCACCACAACGUCGACAAAGGCGCGAAGGGGGAGUCAACAGAGGGAAAUGGUCCAAACUCUGAAGUCGAAAUGUCCACACGAACCUCUAAGGACGGGAUCUCGCACCCAAAAGUCCCCGGGGCUGCCUCGAAAUCUCCGACAACUAUGUGAGGAAACACAGGGCGGUUCGCAACGUUCACGACAUUUGCGCUUGGGAGAUGAAUGCUUAAUGGCUAGUACUAUUAUCCAGUCAAGCGAGUACUGCGCGUUGUCGCGCGCGAAUCAAUUGACCUGCUCUUUUGCUUUGAGACAUCAGGAUGAAGAAGGGAAUGUGAGUCUCCUGGGAUGUGAGCAGGAAAUAAAUGUCAGUCCACUGAAGCAGCAAUAAAUGUCGAUUUGUAGAGUUCACAACAUGAGAGAUCGAGUUUUGAGGCGCGCCAACGGUUAGGUUUCGCGCAGAGAAAUAACGGGACUGAUUACAGACUCUCAAACACAGCUCGCGCGAUGAUCCUUACAUCAAUCCGGGCUCGUUUACAUAACCAUGGCCCGCCGGCUGUGGCAAACGUGACCUGCCCAUCGAAACAUUUAUUUUGUUCCCCCGACCGCGAAGUCAAAAAUCUCCCGGCUCGCGAGUGCUAACAUUAUGCCUGUUUUGCGUAUGCACAUCUAUCGAAUCUCAUUCCGCUCAUUUCACGGGUUCGGCAAAGCACGAUCGAACGUUUUCAUUGAAGAAUGAACCUUCCAUAUGCUUCGAAUGUGAGCGAUGCAAAAAAAUCCCAGGUAGGCAUAUUCGCAGCAGCCAAAUGGAAUAAUAGUAGGGAGGCACAGAGUUACGACUUACGCGAGGGAUGCGUCAACUAAAUCGUCUACUCAUCCGCCUCAUCGAUUCGCGCUACAAUGUAGAUAGAACAAUUAUGACUUGUCGGAGAGUUGUACUUAG